AGGAUACGUCGCAGACGUGGU
rnacentral:miRNA from 1 species